UUGAUCCUACGGGGGGCAGCAGUGGGGAAUAUUGCACAAUGGGGGAAACCCUGAUGCAGCGACGCCGUGUGAGUGAAGAAGUAUCUCGGUACGUAAAGCUCUAUCAGCAGGGAAGAAAAAAAGUCUUUGGCUUUGGUCGGUACCUGACUAAGAAGCCCCGGCUAACUACGUGCCAGCAGCCGCGGUAAUACGUAGGGGGCAAGCGUUAUCCGGAUUUACUGGGUGUAAAGGGGG
rnacentral:rRNA from 1 species